UACGGAGGGUGCAAGCGUUAUCCGGAUUCACUGGGUUUAAAGGGUGCGUAGGCGGCUUGGUAAGUCCGUGGUGAAAUCUCUAAGCUUAACUUGGAAACUGCCAUGGAUACUAUUAGUCUUGAAUAUUGUGGAGGUUAGCGGAAUAUGUCAUGUAGCGGUGAAAUGCAUAGAUAUGACAUAGAACACCAAUUGCGAAGGCAGCUGGCUACACAAAUAUUGACGCUGAUGCACGAAAGCGUGGGGAUCAAACAGG
rnacentral:rRNA from 1 species